rfam:Biomphalaria glabrata isolate BB02 linkage group LG17 unlocalized genomic scaffold LG17_random_Scaffold222, whole genome shotgun sequence.
GUCACGAUGGCCGAGUGGUUAAGGCGUUGGACUCGAAAUCCAAUGGGAUUUUCCCGCGCAGGUUCGAAUCCUGCUCGUGACG